AUUUUUUACUGCCUUGGCAGAGGACACGGAGACCCUCCCCCAAGUAAAUAAAUAGAUAGAUAGACAAGAUACAUCCGUGCAGGAAAUAAUUUCCGUCCUCCUUUCGAACAAACAUGGGGGAUUCCUUAAAGUCAGUCAAGUCAUCCGCAUUCGCAGAGAAAAGAUCCAGCCGGCUGCAAGGGCAGAGCAUCGUUUGUACUCGGAUUGCAUUGGAAGCACCCGAGCUCCCAUGGCAACCUCGGCUCCUGCUGGAGGGCUUUAUUCCAUGCGCCGCCGUGGAGAGCCCCGUGGCAUCCUUUGCUGUGCGCAUCCUUACCCUUCAGCUUGCAGCGGGGUUUGCCUGCAGCCGGCCGCCACCAGCAGGAGAGGUGCGUUAUCUCCAUCCAGCUGCACCGUGAGCUAAUUGCAAAUGCAAACAUGCAGAAUUUGCCAUAAAAUGAGUGAGCCACAUAGUGGCGCCUACCUACCUCAUCACGGGCAUUUAUGAAGAGGCAUUCAAGAUGCAGUCAAGGCAACCAUGAUGAAGAGCACUGAACAAUUUCCCAGUCAUCUUUUAUGCAUGGAAUACCUGAAAACUGAAUGCAAGAGAAUCAGAGAAUUUCAGGAGUUGGAAGGGACAUCAAGAAAUCGAGUACAACUCCCCUUCUAAAGCAGGUUCCCUACAAUAAAUCACACAGGUCUCUUUGCCUGUGUGGGCUGCGUGCCCUGGAGGUACACGUC
ensembl:lncRNA